CCUACGGGAGGCAGCAGUGAGGAAUAUUGGUCAAUGGGCGAGAGCCUGAACCAGCCAAGUCGCGUGAGGGAGUACUGCCCUAUGGGUUGUAAACCUCUUUUGUCGGGGAGCAAAAGCCGGACGUGUCCGGCUGUGAGAGUACCCGAAGAAAAAGCAUCGGCUAACUCCGUGCCAGCAGCCGCGGUAAUACGGAGGAUGCGAGCGUUAUCCGGAUUUAUUGGGGUUAAAGGGUGCGCAGGCGGAUUUUUAAGUCAGCGGUCAAAUCGUGGGGCUCAACCCCAUCCAACCGUUGAAACUGGGGAUCUAGAGUGUGCGAGAGGUAUGCGGAAUGCGUGGUGUAGCGGUGAAAUGCAUAGAUAUCACGCAGAACCCCGAUUGCGAAGGCAGCAUACCGGUGCACAACUGACGCUCAGGCACGAAAGCGUGGGUAUCGAACAGGAUUAGAUACCCCUGUAGUC
rnacentral:rRNA from 1 species